UUUUCUUUAUGUCACGGCCCUACCAACUAUGCUCUCCCUUCUCCAGCGCCGUAACCUAUCUUCUUCAUCUCUGUCCUUUCCACUGUCGACCCCUCCAUUCCUCUUCACUGUCGAUCCGUUUCAAUGUCUUAAUCUCACGAGUAACCGAUCCUCCCCUCUUUAUCUCGUACCUUUUGACUCCCAUCCCUUCCAUUACGCAUCUCUCUCAAUCCGUUUGACGGUUUUAACUUCUCGAUUUAUUGCUCUAAUCAAUGGAUUCGUUUAAGCUUCUUCUCUGUUUUCCUAUUUAUAGGACUCUUUUCCCAUCUGAUUCAUUUUACCUAGCUUUCUCCUCUUUCGUAGUCAAAAGAAUCUUUCAGAACUUUUCCGAUGGAACCCACCGGCAAAUCUUCAGCCUCUAGCCUUCGCAAGUCCACCAGAAAGACCGACACCGCCUCUGCAACUGGGAAACCAAGCGAGAAGCCAUUUGCUUCUCCCGCCGCUGUGAAUACCGCCGUCUCAUCCGCAAGUCCGGUGAACCCUAACAGCGUUGUCGAUCUCCCCUCCGCGACUUUGGACAAACCAAACGGGAAGUCGAUUGCUUCCUCCGCCGCUGUGGAGAACCCUAAAGAGAAGACCGCUGAUUCAGCUCCCAGUCCGAUGAUCCCUGCCGCUGCUGCCGCUCACCCUGCGAAUCGCGAUGAAGUUAUGUUGUUCAGGGAUGUCUCACUCGGACCACACGAGUGCCGGUUUGCUGUUUCGUUUGAUUCACUUCUGGGAAGCUCGCAAUCCAAACACCAAAACCCUCAUUGGACAAGAGAUACCUCUUAUAGACGAAGAGGGGACCGUUAUUCAAGGUUUUGUACCUUCUGGUCGGGUGGGAACAUUUGAUCUCAUUGCUGGUUCCCUCUGCAUAUUAGGAUAUCAAUUUUAGUGGUCUGACAAAUACAAUUGGAGUUUUUCUCGGAUUGCCUCUCUGACAAAUACAAUUGGAGAUGUUAGUAGAUACGUAAGCCAUGAAGACAAUUCGUCUAGAAAUUCCUUCCCUUGCCAGACUGACUUCAACUGCUGCUAGCUCCUAUAAAUUUGUGAGCCAUGAAAUAAGAAGUGCUUUAAGGUCAUUCUAUCCUUAAUCGAUUUAGGCAGUUAGCGUGCACUGUUUCCAGAAGGAACUCCCAUGGAGUUGCAGCACAUCAUUAAACUCAAGGUCUUAAGAAAGCUCAGCAGAGCAUACUUGAUGAUCUCAUCAAGCAUGGCCCAAGGUUUACACAGCCCUCUGUCUCAGGGGUAAUGCCACAAGUGGUUCCAACCCACCUGCACUGCGCUGGUAAUCACUAAUCCGGGUACAACAGCUAGGUUUAUAGCAAACAGCGAGGAUGUGUUAACCAGGCAGAAGCUCUUGGCAGAGGAGCUGAAACCACUGGCUUUAAUAAUUUAAUUGCUCUUACUGAAGCUGCCAAAUACCUCAAAGAUGGUCUCUCUCUCACUUUUAACAGGACAAACAAGCUUUCUUCAAGACUUUCUUCACGUGGCUUAAACCAGGUUCAUCAGCGACUGAUGUAGGAGCUUGAAAGCUCCAUCUCCUGAGUUUUCAGAGUACAUCAAACAGAGAAGAUAUGAUCUCCAUGAUGUUCAAGCAUAUGCGAAGGUUUUUUUUCUUUUGUCAAUGAUAUGUGUUUCUGUGUGUAUCAAAACCCUUUGUCAAGCUCUUAUCCAUGUAACAAAAAUAUUCAUUGUAUUUUGCUAAAGACGCCAGUUUUAAGUUCAAACUUUUAUUAUC